UCCGUAGGUGAACCUGCGGAAGGAUCAUUAACGAGAUAUAGGUUGAUGCUGGUGUUGUGACACAUGUGCUCGCCUUGACUACUCUCUCUCUCUCAACCCCUGUGCACCUUAUCAAAGUUAGUAGUUGCCGUGGUAGGAUUACCCUUUGCGAACACUUUGACUUUUAUUAUAAAUCCCUUUAAUUGUCUUUGUGAAAUGUGUCAUCCACGGAUGAUGAUUCUUAUACAACUUUCAACAACGGAUCUCUUGGUUCUCGCAUCGAUGAAGAACGCAGCGAAAUGCGAUAAGUAAUGUGAAUUGCAGAAUUCAGUGAAUCAUCGAAUCUUUGAACGCACCUUGCGCCCCUUGGUAUUCCGAGGGGCAUGCCUGUUUGAGUGUCAUGUUAUUCUCAAUUGUCUUAUUCUUAAUUGAGUAAGAGACUUGGACUUGGAGGUCAUCAUGCUGGUAUAUAGUAUAUUGGCUCCUCUAAAAUGCAUUAGCUAGACUUUGGUUUGCAUUGCUCGGUGUCAUAGUUCUUUUCUAUUCACUAGCAGUGCUUACUUAGAACGGGUCUGCUUCCAAUGGUCCGCUUUUGGACAAGUGGCUUUGUUAUUUGACCUCAAAUCAGGUAGGACUACCCGCUGAACUUAAGCAUAUCAAUAAGCGGAGGAA
rnacentral:rRNA from 1 species